GGGGCCGUCUGCUAGCCUGGUAGGCGAGGUGCUUCGGGCGCACCUGACUGGAGUUCAAAUCUCCACGGCCCCA
rnacentral:tRNA from 5 species